rnacentral:rRNA from 1 species
AGUGAACGCUGGCGGUAGGCCUAACACAUGCAAGUCGAACGGCAGCACAGUAAGAGCUUGCUCUUACGGGUGGCGAGUGGCGGACGGGUGAGGAAUACAUCGGAAUCUACUUUUUCGUGGGGGAUAACGUAGGGAAACUUACGCUAAUACCGCAUACGACCUACGGGUGAAAGCAGGGGAUCUUCGGACCUUGCGCGAUUGAAUGAGCCGAUGUCGGAUUAGCUAGUUGGCGGGGUAAAGGCCCACCAAGGCGACGAUCCGUAGCUGGUCUGAGAGGAUGAUCAGCCACACUGGAACUGAGACACGGUCCAGCCUCCUACGGGAGGCAGCAGUGGGGAAUAUUGGACAAUGGGCGCAAGCCUGAUCCAGCCAUACCGCGUGGGUGAAGAAGGCCUUCGGGUUGUAAAGCCCUGUUGUUGGGAAAGAAAAGCAGCAGGUUAAUACCCCGCUGUUCUGACGGUACCCAAAGAAUAAGCACCGGCUAACUUCGUG